rnacentral:rRNA from 1 species
UACGUAGGGCGCAAGCGUUGUCCGGAAUUAUUGGGCGUAAAGAGCUCGUAGGCGGUUUGUCGCGUCUGCUGUGAAAACCUAAGGCUCAACCUUGGGCUUGCAGUGGGUACGGGCAGACUAGAGUGUGGUAGGGGGAGACUGGAAUUCCUGGUGUAGCGGUGAAAUGCGCAGAUAUCAGGAGGAACACCGAUGGCGAAGGCAGGUCUCUGGGCCAUAACUGA